ensembl:lncRNA
CUGACUCAAACCUCAAACAGCUUGGCAAUAGCCUGCAGUGUUUUUAGCCCCUUGCUUCGUCCUCCAGCGCUAACAUAAAAAUGAUGAUGGAGGAAAAAUAAAGCAUCUUACAUCCUCGAGAGAGUGUAGUUAUUGUGGGAAGUUUUUCCGUUCAAAUUAUUACCUCAAUAUUCAUCUCAGAACGCACACAGGUGAGAAGCCGUACAGGUGCGAAGUUCUGUGACUAUGCCGCGGCCCAGAAACGUCGCUGCGGUACCACCGGGAGCGGCACCACAGGGACAAGCAGGGGGAUGCCAGGGCCCAGGGCAAGGGCGCGGCGGAGCGGGAGGAUGCGCUGCCCGCCUCCAGCUCAGCUCACAGACCAGGAGCUCGAAGCGAUCCUUCCACGGAGCCCAAGAUGUGAAGGGCGCCCCGCCGGCCAAGCUGCCCCGGGACCCGCCGCCUGCCCGCCUCGGUGCUCAGGACAGCAGCGGGAACCCUAGCCCGCGCCCUGCCGCCCUCGGGAGGAACCCCGGCCUGGCGCCGAUGGCCAGGAGCGGCCCCUGAACCUGUCCCGCGGGGCCCGCGACUGCACCGCGCUGUCUCUCAGCAGAGCCCUGAUCCCCAGCGUCACCUGCCCGUUCUGUACCUUCAGGACCUUCUACCCCGAGGUCCUGAUGAUGCACCAGCGGCUGGAGCACAAGUACAACCCUGAUGCCACCCGGGGCUGCCGCAGCAGGGCCCCACUCAGGGCACGGCGCACCGGCUGCCCACCCGCGCUGCAGGGCAAAGACGUGGCUCCCCCUGCCCGUGCCGCCCGGCCCCGGCCCCGCCCCGGCCCUGCCCUGCUGCACAGCCCAGGCCCGCGCUGCCCGAGAAGGGUCGCCAGGGCCCCACACCGCCGGCAAGGGUGCCCCCGGCCCCGGGCACUGAGCCCAGCACUUUAGCCCCCAGCAACCUGAAGGCCCCGCGGCCCCACCCGAGCUCCGGAGUCCCGGGAGCCUCCAGGCCACAGCAGCCGGAGGCGUUUCCGAAGGCUGGUAUGCCCUCCGGCCCGGACAAGACCAAGAGAGCCGAGACCAAGCCCAGGGCCCUGGCUGAGGCCCCUGUGCAGCCCCCUGUGGGUGGCGGCGGCAGCAGCAGCGGCGGAGGAGGCGCGACCCCGCCCGGGACUGCGCCCCAAAGAGCGAGGGCCCUGGGCUGCGCCGUGGAGAGACUACCUGUGCCACCGGCAGGCGGCCGAGCUCGGGGAGCUGCUGCCCAAGAGACUGAAGGCCAGCGUUGCGGCCCCGGACACUGAGCAGCCCGGGCCCACCUGCAGGCGGAGCUACGACCUCCCCAAGUACCAUGCACCCCGGGCAUUGCCACGCUGAUGCCGCAGGAGUGUGCGUGCCCGCCAGCGCCCUGCCACCCAAGCCCCGCUUCCUGGGCCCCGGGGACUCGGAUGCCCCGAGCGUGCAGGCCACGCAGAGGUCCGCUUGGCGGGGGCGCUGUACACCUGCGCCCCCUGGGCACCCUGCCGCUGGGCUGGCGCUGGAAGG